rnacentral:tRNA from 1 species
AUCUAGGUGGCACAGUGGUUAGAGUACCUGGUCUAAUAUCAGAAAAAUUUGAGUUCAAAUCCUGCCUUAGAUA